rnacentral:rRNA from 1 species
UACGGAGGGUGCAAGCGUUGUUCGGAAUUAUUGGGCGUAAAGGGCGUGUAGGUGGCUUUUCAAGUCCGGUGUGAAAUCCCACGGCUCAACCGUGGAACUGCAUUGGAAACUGGAUGGCUCGAGGGUUGGAGGGGGUCGCGGAAUUCCCGGUGUAGAGGUGAAAUUCGUAGAUAUCGGGAGGAACACCAGUGGCGAAGGCGGCGACCUGGCCAAUCACUGACACUGAAACGCGAAAGCGUGGGGAG